AGUGGCGGACGGGUGAGUAACGCGUGGGUAACCUGCCUCAUACAGGGGGAUAACAGUUAGAAAUGACUGCUAACACCGCAUAAUAUAGUGAAACCGCAUGAAUUUUUGACUAUCAAAUAUUUAAUAGGUAUGAGAUGGGCCCGCGUCUGAUUUAGCUAAGUUGGUGGGGUAAAAGCCUACCAAGGCGACGAUCAGUAGCCGGCUUGAGAGAGUGACCGGCCACAUUGGGACUGAGACACGGCCCAAACUCCUACGGGAGGCAGCAGUGGGGAAUAUUGGACAAUGGGGGAAACCCGUGAUCCAGCGACGCCCGCGUGAGUGAAGAAGUAUUUCGGUAUGUAAAGCUCUAUCAGCAGGGAAGAUAAUGACAGUACCUGACUAAGAAGCCCCGGCUAACUACGUGCCAGCAGCUGC
rnacentral:rRNA from 1 species